rnacentral:rRNA from 1 species
AUUGAACGCUGGCGGCAUGCUUUACACAUGCAAGUCGAACGGCAGCUCGGGCUUCGGCCUGGCGGCGAGUGGCGAACGGGUGAGUAAUGCAUCGGAACGUGCCCAGUAGUGGGGGAUAGCCCGUCGAAAGCCGGAUUAAUACCGCAUACGACCUGAGGGUGAAAGCGGGGGACCGGAAGGCCUCGCGCUAUGGGAGCGGCCGAUGUCGGAUUAGCUAGUUGGUGGGGUAAAGGCUUACCAAGGCGACGAUCCGUAGCUAGUCUGAGAGGACGACCAGCCACACUGGGAGUGAGACACGGCCCAGACUCCUACGGGAGGCAGCAGUGGGGAAUUUUGGACAAUGGGGGCAAACCUGAUCCAGCCAUGCCGCGUGCGAGAAGAAGGCCUUCGGGUUGUAAACCGCUUUUGUUCGGGAAGAAAUCCUCUGGGCUAAUACCCCGGGGGGAUGACGGUAACGGAAGAAUAAGCACCGGCUAACUACGUG